CAGCAGCCGCGGUAAUACAGAGGAUGCAAGCGUUAUCCGGAAUGAGUGGGCGUAAAGGGCUCGCAGGCGGUUUCUUAAGUCUGAUGUGAAAGCCCCCGGCUCAACCGGGGAGGGUCAUUGGAAACUGGGAAACUUGAGUGCAGAAGAGGAGAGUGGGAUUCCACGUGUAGCGGUGAAAUGCGUAGAGAUGUGGAGGAACACCAGUGGCGAAGGCGACUCUCUGGUCUGUAACUGACGCUGAGGAGCGAAAGCGUGGGGAGCGAACAGGAUUAGAUACCCGCGUAGUCCCUGUCUCUUAUAC
rnacentral:rRNA from 1 species